rnacentral:sRNA from 1 species
AAUGUAGAUAUGAUUUCUAGUGCAAAAAGCAUGAAGCGGGGAACAUCAAA